GGCGCAGACAUUGAAACUAGCUCACACGCAGGAAGGCCAGGGAAUGAAUGAAUUUAUUUCCAAAUAGGAAACACGUACACACACAUAUACACACAUACACACACACCCCCAGACGGGAUGGCUAGACGAGGCAGGGGAGUCGCCACGGGGAGUACUGCGCCGAGAAGCUCUGGUGGCCUCCCUUUCAGGGAGGUCGAGGCUGGCCAGCUGCUGGGCUCCGGGGGCCUCCGCUAUGUAGACAAGAAGGGUCCUCAGGUGCGGGGGGCGCUGAAUCUCAGAAGGCUCCGGGACGGCUUGGGGGCGGCCGCCCCCCCCUUCUUCCCUAUCCCCCAUUGUGUGGGGCCUGCACAUCUGGGAGGGGGCUGUCGGGGGGUGUCCGGUGGUGUGAUGGAGGGAGGCGUCCCACCGGCCUGGCGAGGAUCCUUCGUCAGGGGCCCGGCGGGGGCGGCGGGGGCAGCGGUCCAGGCGCACGUCCGGCGGUUCCGAGGUCCAGGACUCCAGCGGUGGCAGAGGCAGGUGGAGCUGGGGUUCGGUUCGGCCAGGCCCGGGCGCGCGCGGCCGCCUCGUCUAUCUACCCGGGGCUCGUGGUGCGGCCGCGGCGGCUCCAGCGGCGGCGGCGCCGCGCAUCCCUGCGGGGAGCCCGGACCGCUGCUCCGCACGCGCCCGCGCCCAAACCUGAUGCCGAACCCGAUGCCGAGCCGAUCCCGAGCCCGCGGCCCCGCAGCCUCCGGAGCCCGCCCCCGAGCCCCGCCCCCAGCCUGAGCCCCGCGUUCUGAGCCCGCCCCUUCGCUGAC
rnacentral:lncRNA from 1 species